UACAUAGGGUGCGAGCGUUAAUCGGAAUUACUGGGCGUAAAGCGUGCGCAGGCGGUUCGUUGUGUCCGUCGUGAAAGCCCCGGGCUUAACCUGGGAACUGCGAUGGAAACUAGCGAGCUGGAGUGUGGCAGAGGGGGGUGGAAUUCCGCGUGUAGCAGUGAAAUGCGUAGAGAUGCGGAGGAACACCGAUGGCGAAGGCAGCCCCCUGGGCUAACACUGACGCUCAGGCACGAAAGCGUGGGGAGCAAACAGG
rnacentral:rRNA from 1 species